GAUGAACGCUGGCGGCGUGCCUAAUACAUGCAAGUCGAGCGAACAGACGAGGAGCUUGCUCCUCUGACGUUAGCGGCGGACGGGUGAGUAACACGUGGAUAACCUACCUAUAAGACUGGGAUAACUUCGGGAAACCGGAGCUAAUACCGGAUAAUAUAUUGAACCGCAUGGUUCAAUAGUGAAAGACGGUUUUGCUGUCACUUAUAGAUGGAUCCGCGCCGCAUUAGCUAGUUGGUAAGGUAACGGCUUACCAAGGCAACGAUGCGUAGCCGACCUGAGAGGGUGAUAGGCCAAACUGGAACUGAGACACGGCCCAGACUCCUACGGGAGGCAGCGGGAGGAAAUCUGCCGCAAUGGGCGAAAGCCUGACGGAGCAACGCCGCGGGGGUGAGGAAGGUCUUCGGAUCGUAAAACUCUGUUAUUAGGGAAGAACAAAUGUGUAAGUAACUAUGCACGUCUUGACGGUACCUAAUCAGAAAGCCACGGCUAACUACGU
rnacentral:rRNA from 1 species